GCCCAGAUAGCUCAGUUGGCAGAGCACAAACUUGGUAAGUUUGGGGUCCCGGGUUCGAUUCCCGGUCUGGGCUCCC
rnacentral:tRNA from 1 species